GCCUUCUUAGCUUAGAUGGUAGAGCGUUUUUUUUUUCGCUUCGUAAGCGAAAGGUCAUUGGUUCGAUUCCGGUAGAAGGCU